rnacentral:rRNA from 1 species
GACGAACGCUGGCGGCGUGCCUAACACAUGCAAGUCAACUUGACUGAAGGAGCAAUCUGACAGUAGAGUGGCGCAAGGGUGCGUAACGCGUAAGUAACUUGCCCCAAGGUAAGGAAUAACGUCGAGAAAUCGGCGCUAAAGACCUCAUAAUGCAGCGGAUCCGCAUGGAUAUGUUGUUAAAGGUUUACCGCCUUGGGAUAGGCUUGCGUCUGAUUAGCUAGUUGGUGUGGUAAACGGCACACCAAGGCUACGAUCAGUAACUGGUCUGAGAGGAUGAUCAGUCACACUGGAACUGAGACACGGUCCAGACUCCUACGGGAGGCAGCAGUGAGGAAUAUUGGGCAAUGCUCGAAAGAGUGACCCAGCAACGCCGCGUGGAGGAUGAAGGUAUUCUAUAUCGUAAACUCCUGUGAGAGCAGACGAAAGACAAGAUUAUUAAAUCUGGAUGACUGUAUGCUC